AUUGAACGCUAGCGGGAUGCCUUACACAUGCAAGUCGAACGGCAGCACGGACUUCGGUCUGGUGGCGAGUGGCGAACGGGUGAGUAAUGUAUCGGAACGUGCCCAGUAGCGGGGGAUAACUACUCGAAAGAGUAGCUAAUACCGCAUACGCCCUACGGGGGAAAGGGGGGGAUCGCAAGACCUCUCACUAUUGGAGCGGCCGAUAUCGGAUUAGCUAGUUGGUGGGGUAAAGGCCCACCAAGGCGACGAUCCGUAGCUGGUUUGAGAGGACGACCAGCCACACUGGGCCUGAGGCACGGCCCAGACUCCUACGGGAGGCAGCAGUGGGGAAUUUUGGACAAUGGGGGCAACCCUGAUCCAGCCAUCCCGCGUGUGGGAUGAAGGCCUUCGGGUUGUAAAGCACUUUUGGCAGGAAAGAAAUCGCAUGGGUUAAUACCCUGUGUGGAUGACGGUACCUGCAGAAUAAGCACCGGCUAACUACGUGCCAGCAGCCGCCGUAA
rnacentral:rRNA from 1 species